rnacentral:lncRNA from 1 species
UCCGUCGUCCCUAAUUGGAUCGUCGAGUGACGUUAGAGUAUCUCUAGCAGUAGCAGAGCAAAACAGGUGGUGAGAAAAGCACAACAAGAGUAACGCAUAGGAGGAGAAGAUGGAAGAUAGCAUGCGAUUUGCAAACCAUGAAAGGUUGGAAAUAAACAUAAUACAGGGAGACAAACACAUGUGCUUGGCUCGAGGGAGUCUACUGGUAGUCGUAUCAACAUUCAUAUGUUUCCCUUGUUUAGUAUCAGAAAAUGUGAGGUUUACGCCAACAGUGCUCUGCAAUUUGCACCUAGAACAAACACUUGAUAUACCAGCCAAAGCAGAAAAUGUUAUUCCUGUAGCAAUCACUCAAUGUUUUCAUGUGACUUUAGAGGAAGCUGCAUGAUUGAAUAGUAGUAGCUGGCUCAAUGUGGAGUCAAGGUCGUCUGAGUUUGGUUUUAUUGCAUCUUUUCUUUGUCCACUGAUUCACUUUCAUUUAUCUCCCUUCCUCUCAUUUUGUUAUUUGUAAAUUUCUCAAGGUCUCAAAUUCCUUUGGUCCUACUUCAUAUAUUUCAAAAUUUCCCAUUAUCGCUGGCUUUUCUUCCCUCUGAAAAUUGUUGUAAAUAAUAUUCGUGAAGCCCACAUAAAGAGAAAUGAUGGAAGAAAAAUGAUGGUGUUGAGUAUGGAAGUCAAAAGAAGGAAUGAUGGUGUUAGAAGUGGGAUAAUUAGUCAAAAGAUGAAAUUAUAAUGUUGGGGAGAAAUCAUUAUGUCUCCAUUAGAAGCCUUUUAAUUUGCCUAUAAAUAGGCUUGCUCAUUCACUUGUAAGACACACCAAAAUGAAGAGAAGAAUGAGUGAGGAAAGAAAGAAAGGAAGAGAAGGAAGAAAGAGGGUGAGUAAGUAGAGAGAAAAAUAGAGUGGAGAGAAAUUUCUCCAAGAGAGAAAAGUUAGUGAGCCACAUAUAUUGUAAACACUAAAGUUGUAGCCCUAUUAUUUUACAUAGUGGAAAAGUUACUACUGCUGCUCUCCGAGGACGUAGGCAUAGCCGAACCUCGUUAAAUACUGUGUCUCAUCUAUUUUACGUGCAGCUCAAUAUUCGCACAUAUCUCAGUUAUUUUACAACACGUUAUCAGCACGAGAAGCUCUCAGGUAUAAUUUUUGUGCUGCACUAUUAUUUAUACUACUAACCAUUGUAUAUAUAUAUAUAUGAAAAGUUGAUAGUAAUAUAAUAUGCUAUAUUUAUUCACUUUUCUAUUACUAACCACUAACAAAAAUGGACCAUUGGUAAUACUAAACAUAUUAUCAGUGGGAGACCGUUACUAAUACUAACAUUUUUCUUAUUUUAUUCGGUGGUGGUUUUAACCCCAUAUUUAUUUUAUUUACUGUAUGGUGUAGGUUUAUUACCCAUACAAGCACGUUUACUUUAUCGCAAAUUUACUUUUACUUAAAGUAUGAUGUGGAAUUAACCCUCAUACUUUAUGAAAUUUACUUUACCGCACAUUUAUUUUAUUUACUGUAUGGUGUAGGUUUAUUACCCAUACAACAGUAUUUAUUUAAAAGGGUGGUGCGGGUUUAUCGUCCACGCCUUUACUUUUAUUUAAAUGUAUGGAGCAGAAUUAGUGCCCAUACAAGCACGUUUACUUUAUCACAAAUUUACUUUUACUUAAAGUAUGAUGUGGAAUUAACCCUCAUACUUUAUGAAUUUACUUUACCGCACAUUUAAUUUUAUUUAAGAUAUGGUGCGGAAUUAACAUCCAUAUAGCAAGUAAUUUAUUUUAUCGCACAUUUACUUUUACUUAAAGUAUGAUGAGGAAUUAACCCUUAUACUUUAUGAAUUUACUUUACCGCACAUUUACUUUUACUUAAAGUAUGAUGAGGAAUUAACCCUCAUACUUUAUGAAUUUACUUUACCGCACAUUUACUUUUAUUUAACGUAUGGUGCGGGUUUAUCGUCCAUACAAGCAAUUCAUUUACCAAUAAUUUAAUUUACAAGCAAUUUAUUUUAUGGAUUAAUUGUGUGGUAUGAUGAGUUUUUUUACAAAGAUACAAAUCAGAACCAGAAGUUUCUUGAUCCUCAUCAUACAACUACAUCAGGACUUGAAGAUCCUUGAUGAUGAUAUUGAUAUGAGAGCUGGCAGUCUCUCCAGAACUAUAUUUGUAAACAUGUGAUCGGACUUGAGGGUCCUUGAUUCUUGAUAUGUAAAUAAGGACCUGGGGUUCCUUAAAUGAUGUAACAGUAUUAUAUUGGUUAAUAGUGUCGUACACAUGAAAAUAACUGUAUUGGCAAAUGUACUGUAUAUAUGAAUAGUGUCGUAUACAUGAAUAGUGAUGUAUGCAUAAAUAUUUACCAUUUUGGGUAAACUGUCACUAUUCAAAAAGGGAACCUGCAGUUCCUUAAACUCAUGGAUGAGCAAUUAAAUGAGAUGCCAGAAGUUCCUCAAGAUAUGGACAAUUAUGUAAGGGCUUGAAGUCUAGAAAUAUGUACAGAAAAUUGUAAAAAUGUCCAUACCAUGAGAAUAUGUGAUUUUGGCUUGAGGUUCAAAAUCUAACAGUGUUGAGAACCUGAAGUUCCAACAAUUAAAUGGACAACCCUUGAGGUAUUAUUGCAAAUUGUGGUACGCCACAUAUUUCUUUGGCAUAAGAGAAUGAUGAAUUUAAUAAAGUUCGAUUCUGUUAUAAUCGACACCUCAAGGAAGAAAUAUAUUUUGUGAAUUCCGGUUGUUAAGAAUACACCGUGAAAUGGAUAAUAUCAGUAUAAACCUCAAAUGAUGAAUUGAGGCUUCCCACAUAUUUUGUUAUAUCUGGGCCGGAAGCACAUGGAUUCAAAUAUAUGAGAAAUCCCGAACUUGAGGUUAUGGGUAUAUAGUAGUUAAUGCUCUUCACUACUAUAUUGCGAUAUUAUCGUAGCUUUUACUCAAUUCAUAUUUCAUGUCCAUUUGAAAAGGGCGAAUAAAUUCUGAGUUUGUGUUUAGCCCAGGCCAAAAGUUCCAUACGUUGAAAUAUGAAAUUUAGGAGAGUCGAUGUGGUUAUUUGAACCUAUAAGGCACAAGGUUCCAAACCGUCAUUUUGAAAAGACGUAAAAACCACAGGUGCAAGUUUAAGAAUGUGCGCAAUUAUUAUAACAUGAACAUACAACAGAUAGAUUUUUUCCACCGGCAAUGAAGGUGCAGGCCCUGUAAAAUCUAUAAAAAUACAUUAUGUUCUGGAAGCCUCUGAAGGAAGUGGACGACGCCUCUUAAGUUUAGCCAUGAGCCUCUCGUGGUCUCCCAAAAUUCUUUCAUUGGAGACCUGCAGCAUGUCUAGCCUUCUCAGUGUAUCAACAGAGUACGAACUCACCAGUUUCAACAAGGCAUUAUUCUCUCCUUUAAGUUUCUCAACCUCUUGUUGAGACUCAUGAAGCAUUCUUUGGAGAGACGAAUUUUCAGUUGUUAAAUUCUGAACCUCGUUUGCUCUGGCACGCCAACGAUCAGCCAUGUUAGAAACAGAAGCAGCACUCUGAAUACUAAAAGCCAUUGAGUCAUCAAUAGCCUCUUCCUCAGACCUCCCUGUUAACAGCAUUUCAUCCAAUGGAGUAAUGAAAUUCCUAGCUACUAUGACAGCAGUAGCAUCAUUCAUCAUCACAGAAUCAUUAACUGUGAGAUGACGAUUUUGGGAUACAAAGGAUGGACGCCAAACUUGGGCGUCACUGGCUGUUGUGGGAGUAUCAUUCAAAUUGAAAUAAUUUGGGCAGGAAGAAGAGGAAGCCAUUUUUAAGAAGGUUUCGAAGAAAGUCUUAAGAAAACUAAAGUUUCAGAAAAUGAAGGAAGUUAAGUUGAAACGCAGUUGCUCCAAUCAAGUUUUGCAAAGGCAAUAUCUAUAGGAGGAAAUAUGGCUACAGUUUUUCAGGAUCCCAAUAUCUUUUCGGAUCCCCAUAUUCUCUUUUUCUUUCCCAGAUUCCAAAACUUCACGUGGCCUCCAUUAAUGUUUGUCGGCACUUUCGGCGUUUUCAAAGUAUUAUUUUCGUCAAAAGCCGAUCUUGCUUUGCGGAUUUCACGGAGCUACUUUUUCAAAAGUACCCCGAGAAUCUCGCAAUUUUCCUAUGGUUAAUUUGAAAUUCACCGGUUCUACCUAUUCCUCUUAUUUGUGUAUAAAUGUGUUACUAACGAAAUUUUCUUUGCAGAAGACAUCCAGUUUUCUCCAUACCUAGUGAUGCGAUAUCUACUUGUUUUUCUUAUCAGUGAGCACUCAAUAUGCCCGAGAAGCAAGACUAUCUCUGAUCAUCCAUUCAGGAAGCGAGACUAUCCCUGAUCACGUUUUCGCCACAUCAGGGAACUGUGAAGGCAACCUUAUGCUCUAAUCUCCGGAAGUUCUUCUAAACUAGAAGAAAUGAGAGCUUGUCGUUUGCUCCCACUAGCUUCCUUCCUUGAUUGCUGAGCUUGUUCUCUGCUCCCACCAGCUUCCUUCCUUGAUUGCUUACCUUCUCUUGCAAUCAAUAUCACAUUAUUUUUGCAUUUUUUCUCCUUUUUAACUCUCUGUUCAUAAGAGAUUUUAUUUCUUUAGAAUGAACAUCUGAAGAAUGAAUCCAUGAAGUGAUCCUAACUAUGAGGUUUAUUUGUUUUAACAGAGGCAAAAGAGUUGUGAUUUUUGCUCUUGCAGGAUAUAACUAGAUCAUCAAGGCUACAUUAUAUUUACUGGGCCGAUACGAGCUUGAAUGAUACUUGAGAAAAGUUUCUCCCACCUAAGGAUGUAAGCAAUACUUGUGUUAUUUUAUGCUUAUAUACUUAUUUGAUAUUUUAUCUUGAAAGGUAACCAAAUGGGGAGAUAAGUCUGUUCCAAAAGAAUGGCUUGUAUGUAUCCAUGAAUUAUUAAUGCAAAUUUUUCAGAUUGCAAGUUGGAUACAUUGAUAAUACACUGCACAGAUUAAAGUCCCAUAAGAACAGAAUAUGGGUAUAGCAGUGAUCAAUAUAAUGCACGCCUGUUGCGUAGCAAAUGAUGUGGAUUGAAGUCCCGAAAGAACAAUCCUUUGACAUGUCAAUAUUGAUAUUAUGCACGCCUAAUGCGUAGCAAAUUAUAUGGGUUAAAGUCCCAUAAUAUGGGUUAAGGUCCCAGAAAUUAAUUGACAUGUAUGUAUUAAUCUGUGGCAUGCCUUCAGCAUGACAGAUAUAUGGGUUCUAAAUGUUCCAACUCCCUAAAUGGAGAUUAUCCACGGCUUACUGCUAAAUAACGCUCCAAUGGAGGUUAUAAUCCACAUUCUCACAUAAUAAAAGCCCCAUGAAGUGGCUUGGGUACCCAAAGGCAAAUAAAUGCUUAUAAUUGAUGCAUGCGCAUGCACAUGAGAAUGGUGGGAUCAUGAAUUGAUGAAUGACAAUUUUUGAUUUUGGAGUAGCUACUCAAAUCAUCAAUGGGCUGUGUUGAUUGGAACCACGUUCAAUUAUUAAAUGUCGACAAUAUCAUUGGCCAAAAUGGAAUGAGGUAAUUCCAUUAUAGAUGAGAAUGAACGUGAAUUAACAAACCCACAGUACGAACCCCAAAAGAUGUUAAUACUGAAAUUUAUACUUGGGUGUUCGGAAUAAAAGGGAAUAUACCUACUUUGUAUGACACACUGUUUCUGGCAGAAACAAGGAAUGUUGGGUUUUCUCCAUAUUUACAGAUUCAAUUGUGCCCCCUUAUUACACAAUUACGGAGACCAACAUAUUAUCUUUAAGGGUUAUUAAAUGCACGGAGCAUAUCGCCAGAAGCGAUUUCCUAAAAAUGUAUAAAUAGCUGGGUUAAAGCUAUAUAAUGUGUCAUAAAGUUUAAUCCCUUUUAAACAAAAUCCGUUGAGAGGAUUGACAUUGCAUAAAGCAAGUCCCUAAAGGACAUGUGCUUGAAGCACAAAAUUUGUACUCAAUAUUAAUAUGCAUAAAUUACCUCAGUGAGUACAUUGAUUAUAAUGUGAUUGCAACACAUUAAAGCUUCUGAAGAGUUCAAGAAAUAUUUGUCUCGACUUAAGGAUCGAGCAUUAUGCCAACGAGAUUCUUGCUUAUACUAAGAAAGUAUUGAAGCAUUUUUAUGAGGAUUAUCCGUUGGACACUUUAAUGAUUUUUCAGAAGUAUAUUGGACCAGACAUCAUAUUUUCCAGAUAUGGCUCAACUCCAUCACCAUCAUUUUGGGAUGAUGUGAGGUAUAUUUGAUGCUAUCUCCGCAUAACACCAUGUACGGGCAUAUUCUUUCAAGUGAACUUACAAAUAGCCCAAGUUUUGUUAGAAACGCAGACUCUGAAAAUUUCUAUGAUUUACAUAGAGAUAGCUCACUGGAAAUAUAUUUACUUACUCAACUACGAGAAUUAUUAAUGGCUAUAUCCUCCACUCACUCCGAAAGAUUCUCAUCCAAAAGAUAGUCAUGAAGACAUCAGGGGGAGAUAUUCAUCAGGGGGAGCAUCCAGAACUAUGCUGCACUGAUUACUGUAAUCUUCUUCAUUCCAUCAGUUUUCUACCUCAUUGGGUUUUCUCCAAGCAAAUCUUUAAUGAUGCAACCGACAUGUCAUUUGUGGUCUCCAAGGGGGAGUGUUGUAAAUAAUAUUGGUGAAGCCCACAUAAAGAGAAAUGAUGGAAGAAAAAUGAUGGUGUUGAGUAUGGAAGUCAAAAGAAGGAAUGAUGGCGUUAGAAGUGGGAUAAUUAGUCAAAAGAUGAAAUUAUAAUGUUGGGGAGAAAUCAUUAUGUCUCCAUUAGAAGCCUUUUACUUUGCCUAUAAAUAGGCUUGCUCAUUCACUUGUAAGACACACCAAAAUGAAGAGAAGAAUGAGUGAGGAAAGAAAGAAAGGAAGAGAAGGAAGAAAGAGGGUGAGUAAGUAGAGAGAAAAAUAGAGUGGAGAGAAAUUUCUCCAAGAGAGAAAAGUUAGUGAGCCACAUAUAUUGUAAACACUAAAGUUGUAGCCCUAUUAUUUUACAUAGUGGAAAAGUUACUACUGCUGCUCUCCGAGGACGUAGGCAUAGCUGAACCUCGUUAAAUACUGUGUCUCAUCUAUUUUACGUGCAGCUCAAUAUUCGCACUUUUCUCAGUUAUUUUGCUUUCAAUUUUUGAGAUUUUGAGAAAUUUUUGGAGGCAACCGCAUUUCUGUUGGGCUGGGCUUCGGUCAUGCAGCUUCGAACCCUACUGUUGACGACGUUCUUCUUUCCUUCUUCCUUUUACGUUUCUUUGUUGGUUUUUGGCCCAGCAUUGUUUGCCAGUGAAGUAACGUUUAGCCCACUCAUAUUUGUAAGCUGUUAAAAAACAUAUGGAUUAGCGUUAUCAUUUCGUUAUUAUGGAAAGAUUUAAAAUGAAGACGAAAAUAAUCUGAUUUCGAUGCAAAUUUGAUGUUUACUAGAUAUAGAUUGAUAAGUUGAAUUUGACCGUCUAAAUACGAUUCGGAUAUGAUAACUGAUUAAAAAUAGAUGCAUUUGUAGAUUAGGCUCAACCUUUGAAGGUAGUUGAGGUUCCACCCCAAAAACAAUUGGCAAUGGGGGGAGUAGCCCAACUCCUUAUAAACCCAGGCUAGGUCCCUUAACAUUUCAAUGUGGGACAAACACUCUCAACACGCCCCCGCACAUGUGGCGAACUUUCAAGCCUAACACGUGGACAACACAUAUUGGGUGACGUGGGAGCACGUGUGACCAUUGGGCCCAACACGUGAAGCCUUGCUCUGAUACCAUGAAGGGAGUUGAGGUUUCACCCCAAAAACAAUUGGCAAUGGGGGGAGUAGCCCAACUCCUUAUAAACCCAGGCUAGGUCCCUUAACAUUUCAAUGUGGGACAAACACUCUCAACAACCUUACCCCCCAUGAAAUACAACCUUGUAAGACAUACAUUGUAGAUCCAACGGUGACUAUCCUUUUAAAUAGCUAAAAGGGGAAAAGAUGCACCAAUUACAUGUACUGAUCAAAAGAGUUGAAGUUGAUGAAUGAUAUACAUUGUUGAACUAUGAACUUUGCAGCUUAUAGCCUUCUUCUUUGGUCUUUAUUUGAACUUUACAGAUAUCCAGGUUGUGAUUGCUGUGGAUUUUUCAAUUUUCUAAUGGCAAUAUGAAAUAGUGAAUCUAUAUCAGGUUCAGUAAGAAAAACCUAUAAACUGGGUGGCUUGAAUUAUUUGCUGCCUUACUAAAUUUGGGCCUUAAAACUGCAAAAAUUACAAACUAGAAAACAGGGAGCUUCUAUAAUGAGGAGUUAUGUUAAGGGGUUCAAUCCAACAGUCCGAUAAUAAUUUGACAGCUAUUAAGAACCCUCUUAUUAUAACCUAUCAUUCUUCUAGCCUUCUUACUAGAAAAAAUGUCUUAUUAAAACUAUUGGGCCUUAGCCGAAAAUGAGAUAUGACCGUCCCAAACACCUAAGCCCAGUUUACCAAUUUUGAUCAAAAUGGGCCUUAUUGUUCGAUUUUGAUUACAGAUUUGGCCUUACGACUGGACCGGUUUUGUAGCCGAUUUGAAUCCAAAACCGAGUCGGCUCGAACCAUAUCUACCCCCUAGUAAGGAAGAGGGGACGAAAAAUUGCAAAAAAAAAAAAGGAAUUUUGACUAAAAAUUUAUUUCAUUAUUUUUUUAUCCACAUGUCACAAUGUGAUUAGACAUGUGGACUCCACUUAUCUUCCACAUCACACUUAACAGAAUUUAUAACGUCAGAGACCAUUUGUUGUAACUAGAAAGCAAUGUUAGAGGUGGACAUCAUUCGAAGCGCGAAAUGCAGGGCUGAAAAUCGCACGGGUUGGGGCCCAGUGUACACGUAAUACAUAGAAAAUCAGUUGCAGGUGCAAAGACCCACGUGGUUCGAUGGCCCAAAUGACGACACAUACGCUAAUAGAAAUAAAAAUAAAAAUAUAUAUAAAUAAAAGGUUACACUAUAUAUAUAUAUAUAUAUAUAUAUACAGAGAGCUUCCAUUGAGGGAUCCCUCAAAUAAGCUUAUUUGAGGGAUCCCUCAAUGGGAGCUCUCGGUAUAUAUAUAUAUAUAUAUAUAUAUAGUGUAACCUUUUAUGUAUAUAUAUUUUUUAUUUUUAUUUCUAUGAGCGUGUGUGUGGUCAUUUUGGGCCAUCCAAACCACGGUGGGUAUUUGCACCUGCAACUGGAUUUUCUAUGUAUAACGAUGUACACUGAGUCACCAACCCGUGCGAUUUUNNNNNNNNNNNNNNNNNNNNNNNNNNNNNNNNNNNNNNNNNNNNNNNNNNNNNNNNNNNNNNNNNNNNNNNNNNNNNNNNNNNNNNNNNNNNNNNNNNNNUUUUCCUGAAGUACCGUGUUCAUUGAUUUGUAAGACACAAGUGAUGUCGAACGGUUUCCAAUUUGUCUAAUUUUUGUAAAGAUGAUCUAUGAAUGAAGACCUAAAAAAAUAGAUGGUUGGAUCAUUGGAAAAAAAAUGGUAGGGUACCCUAAAGGGCGUCCCUCAAAUAAAAUUAUUUGAGAGAUCCCUCAAUGGAAGCUCUCUGUAUAUCAGUCCCCUUCUAUUGAGGGAUCUCUCAAAUAAUUUUAUUUGAGGGACGCCCUUUAGGGUACCCUACCAUUUUUUUUCCAAUGAUCCAAACCAUCUAUUUUUUAGGUCUUCAUUCAUAGAUCAUCUUUACAAAAAAUUAGACAAAUUGGAAACCGUUUCGACAUCCAAUUGUGUCUUACAAAAUCAAUGAACACGGUACUUCAAGAAAAUACUAAAAUUUCAAUAACUCAAUUGAGUGGUCAAAUGAUAUCUGAUUCAAGUGAUUUUUUGUAGAGAUGAUCUUUGAAUGAGUAUCUACAAAAUAGACUGUUUGGAUUAGUGAAAUACAAUCCGGAGUGGGGCCUACAAGGAGUAUCCCUCAAAUAAGCUUAUUUGAGGGAUCCCUCAAUGGAAGCUCUCUGUAUAUCAGUCCCCUUCUAUUGAGGGAUCUCUCAAAUAAUUUUAUUUGAGGGACGCCCUUUAGGGUACCCUACCAUUUUUUUUCCAAUGAUCCAAACCAUCUAUUUUUUAGGUCUUCAUUCAUAGAUCAUCUUUACAAAAAAUUAGACAAAUUGGAAACCGUUUCGACAUCCAAUUGUGUCUUACAAAAUCAAUGAACACGGUACUUCAAGAAAAUACUAAAAUUUCAAUAACUCAAUUGAGUGGUCAAAUGAUAUCUGAUUCAAGUGAUUUUUUGUAGAGAUGAUCUUUGAAUGAGUAUCUACAAAAUAGACUGUUUGGAUUAGUGAAAUACAAUCCGGAGUGGGGCCUACAAGGAGUAUCCCUCAAAUAAGCUUAUUUGAGGGAUCCCUCAAUGGAAGCUCUCUGUAUAUCAGUCCCCUUCUAUUGAGGGAUCUCUCAAAUAAUUUUAUUUGAGGGACGCCCUUUAGGGUACCCUACCAUUUUUUUUUCCAAUGAUCCAAACCAUCUAUUUUUUAGGUCUUCAUUCAUAGAUCAUCUUUACAAAAAAUUAGACAAAUUGGAAACCGUUUCGACAUCCAAUUGUGUCUUACAAAAUCAAUGAACACGGUACUUCAAGAAAAUACUAAAAUUUCAAUAACUCAAUUGAGUGGUCAAAUGAUAUCUGAUUCAAGUGAUUUUUUGUAGAGAUGAUCUUUGAAUGAGUAUCUACAAAAUAGACUGUUUGGAUUAGUGAAAUACAAUCCGGAGUGGGGCCUACAAGGAGUAUCCCUCAAAUAAGUUAUUUGAGGGAUCCCUCAAUGGAAGCUCUCUGUAUAUCAGUCCCCUUCUAUUGAGGGAUCUCUCAAAUAAUUUUAUUUGAGGGACGCCCUUUAGGGUACCCUACCAUUUUUUUUCCAAUGAUCCAAACCAUCUAUUUUUUAGGUCUUCAUUCAUAGAUCAUCUUUACAAAAAAUUAGACAAAUUGGAAACCGUUUCGACAUCCAAUUGUGUCUUACUUGAAAAGGAUAUAAAGACUAACUACAGCCUCAAACCAUUCUUUCAUUAUCUACCUUCAUCUAGAGUUGUAGUUAUUUCAGCAAAUGUUUCUGGCUUAGUAGAAGAAGAAGCUGUGCUAGAGUUGCCUCUCCUUGGGAGAAAGGCUGGUUGUUUAGGAGUUGGAGAGAUUGCAAUUUCACUGUCAAGCAUGGUAAGAACAUUUGACAUGGUGGGACGAUCAACAGGGUCUUCUUGUACGCAUAAGAGCCCAACAUUGACACACUUCAUGAAUUGACUUUUGUUGCAACUUUCAUCCAAAGUCGUGUCCAUUAGUUCCGAGGCCUUGUUUUCUGUCCACAGUCUCCAUGCCUGGGAAAAUGUUUAAAUUUCAAAUGUUGUAAAGUAUAAAAUGGGGAUGAAGCAAAUAAAUGGGCAUGAAAGAUUCAUUCAACAGACUUACAUAAUUUAUGAGGCUGAAAGUUUGUUUGGAUUGAUAAAAUCCUGUGUUCUUUUUUCCACUGAUUAUCUCAAGAAGAACCACACCGAAGCUAUACACAUCUGAUUUCACUGAGAAAAUUCCAUCUAAUGCAUACUCUGGAGACAUGUAACCACUGCAUCACAAAUUAUAAUAACAGUUCGUAAAAUAUGCAGGCACCAAAGCACUUCCCUCUAAAAGGGUCAAUGACUUGAAAUUUCAAAUUUGUGCUACAAUGUAUGAAAUAUCCACCCUGAAAUUUAAACCGUCCACACGAAACUUACUAAGUUCCAACUACUGUGUUUGUGUUCGACUCAGUUUCUUUGCCUCCAACAAUCCUCGCCAAGCCGAAGUCAGAUAUUUUGGGGUUCAUCUCCUCAUCUAAGAGAAUGUUGCUGGUUUUCAAAUCUCUGUGAAUGAUCCUCAAUCUGGAAUCUUGAUGAAGAUAAAGAAGUCCUCGAACGAUUCCCAAAAUGAUGUUAAAGCGCAUCUCCCAAUUAAGAACCAAGCUUUUUGUAUGAUCUGGCAAACUUUGCAUUUUCCGUUAGAGAAACUUGGGAGAUCUGGUGAUCAAGAAACCAUAUAUGAUGCAGUAAAAAAAACUGAAAUGAGGACUGGGAACAAACCAAAUAUAAAGAUGUCUAAGCUUUUGUUAGGCAUGUACUCAUAGAGUAAAAUCUUUUCUUCUCCUUUAAUGCAAUAUCCUUUAAGCCUAACAAGGUUUCGGUGUUGAAGUUUGGCAAUCAGCACCACCUCAUUCUUAAAUUCCUGUAAGCCUUGUCCUGAAGCCCUUGAUAACCUCUUUACUGCAAUCUCUUGAUCUCCAAGAAACUUGCCCUGGACAAAAAAAUAAUCCCCUCUCAAAUGAAUUUACAACUAACCAGAAUAAAUUAAUGAUAAAACAAUUUUGGAGGGACAAUAACACAACACAUAAGUGUUGCUAAUGUGGCUCAAUUGCAAUGAAAUGGAAAACAAGUAUUCCUCCAUUACCUUAUAAACAGGGCCAUAGCCCCCUUGUCCAAGCUUGUUUGCAUCUGAGAAAUUAUCUGUAGCGUCUAGUAUGCUUUGCAAAUCGAAAAAGGGUACAUCUAUACCUUUCUCAUCUUCUUCCUUGAACUCACCUGUGUCUAUCAACUCUUGGACUUGCCUUUCACUAUCAAGUUGUGCUCGAUUUAUUUUAUCUAAGUCAUGAAAUUGAAGAAUAUUAUUCUCAUGCUGUCAUUCAAUAGGACCAAUCCUGCAGAUGUUCAUGCAUAGAGUGCAUAUAGCAAAGUAGUUACCUUGUCGCUUGGUUAUCUUUCUUCUCCAUAUAUAAACACAAACGAUGCAUGCAAGAAAAAUUCCGCUUGUAACAACUGCCACAACUAUCAGUAUCAGAGACACUGGCACUUUCCUUCUUCGUUGUUCUUCUAUAAGAAAGCAAGAGGAAAUUCUACAUGUAAGUUGUCAUCAUGUAAGUAGAUUACUGAAGUGAACAAUCUAAAAUGACAUGAUGCAUUUAUAAUGAGCCAACUAAAUGAUUGGAUUUAUCAGUCAAAUUCUACUUAGUUUCAGUUAUUUCUAUGAUUUCUACUCAGACGGACAUGCAUUGGUCCCAACAUAAAUUGAUUUGCACUAACAGGUUCAUGCAUCAGCGCAAUUUUAUGCGUAGCCUAACGCGUUCUCACCUUGAGUACAAUUUAAGUUAAAGCCACUCCAUUGAUAAUUGGCAUUGCAAAGGCAUCUUUUCUUUCUAUCGCUUGCUGGACUGCAAGUUGAAUGUGGCCAACCCCUGCAGUCUGCAGAUGUUCUACAGGUUGGUGCCAGAGGCGGCUUCCAACCUAACUCUACUGCAUUAGUACCUCCGGAUGAAAUUUGAGAACUAAAAUUUCCCGGGGGAACAUAGCACCAACUGGUCACAUUGAAAGGAAAUGGAGGGUUCAGCUGUUGACUUUUGACUCUGUUUAUAGGGUCACAAUUAUUCACAUUUUUGGCUUGGAUGACGACUCUUUGUGUACUUGGGUUGACACUAAUAACUCUAAAGGAGGUGCCAUUCGGUCCCACGAAGCUAAGCUGGCCUGUGAUGGGGCUGCAGUUGAAAUGGAAGUACAUGGGGUCACCGCAAUCCGGUCCAGUGCUCAGGGGAUAAGGAAUGAUGGUUGUGCCACAAGGCUUGCAGUCUCUUACGGUUGAUUCUGCACAAGAUGUAAUUUCUUGAUUGUCAUAACGAACUAAAAAAUUAACAUUAACCUCAUGCUUCUGCAAUCUUACUCACAUGUAAAAGCUUAACAUAGAAUGCUUCUAGUAUAUAACACGGACUGUUUAGUUGUGUAUGUGUGUAGAGUUUGUUACUCCUACGCACGUAUGACAUCCCUCAACAUUAUUGAUUGUAGUUAAUUUCAUCCUAACUGAGGUGCUUUAAACUCUCACUCUCUUACAUCUUUUUUCAACUGUAAAGUAGUUUGGUGAAACAAACCAACAACUGCAUAUGUUCCAUCGUAAUCCAAAAUUAAACAGAGAAAUGCAAUACCUAAACUAGACAAGGCAACUCGAGCAGAGAGGUUGUGGCCAUUAUCAUAUUCUUCCUCAAGAUUAUUUAGAUCGCUUGACCAUGUCCAGCACAAGGAAGUAGGAGUAGCAGUAUCCCUGCUAGUGCUGUUUACACCUGCACUAUAUGAGAAAGCCUGGCACUGGCAGCUAUUUAAGCACUCUUUCCUGCAUUGUAUUUCAUCUUCAGAAGUUAUUUGUGCGUCUGGUUUUCCCACUUUCAUCAUCUUCAAGCUCAAGAAAGUGUCCUUGCUACAUAUUGUCGACUCCCUUGCACAUCCAUUUGAAAAGUCUCCGGCUUCCCAUUGCUUUGCAAACUGAGGUUUAAACCCUGGCAAACAUUUGCACACCAACGGCCAAUUAUUAAUGUUACAGCUGCCAAAGUUCCCACAAGCAUUAAGCACUCUGCAUCGAUCUCUUGGCUCCUUCCAUAACAAAUUCCAUUGCUUUGUGUGAUUAAUCCAGGUCAGAAACUGUACCUCCCCAGUAAAACUCAUCAGCAUUCUUGUAUAAUUGUAGUCCAAUCUUGUCACAUCAAUAAUUUUUAAAUUAUUAUAGUUAUUUCGUCUUCUAGAUCUGGCAGUACUCUUGCUGAAAUUUGAUAAUAGAUCAUCUAGUGGAGGAAACAUUCCGGCCGAGCUAGAAAAUUUAUUACCUGACUCUCCACUUCUCCAGUAAGGAGUCGAAUUUUUUAAGGUAACAAACUGGUCUCCUUCUUGAUCUAGUUUGAACGUGAAGUCGCCGAUUCUCGGGUCGUCUUGGUCUCUCCAUGAAGGCAAUUCUAAGCUUUGAUCCAUCACCAUCCCAGGAAUGAAUGUAUCAGUUGGAUUUCGAAAGCUCUGCCACAAAAUAUUAUUCGCUGCCAAUGGAUCAUCAUCACCAUCCCUUAACAACACCAGAUUCCCAGAAUCCAUAAGCCUCACCAUCAAAUUUAAAGACUUGGGUGUUUUAAGGCGUGUUGACCAAUAAGACUUUCCAGUAGUAUCAUCCAAAACUUGGAGGUUACCAUCUUGGAUUGCAAAAACGUCAGUACUCCUUGAAUUGGCAGGAACUGGCGUAUCUCUGUUGGCAACCCAAACAACUGUCCUUGGACUCAUAUUGUGAUACCAAAUGCCAACAUAUCUUCCAUUGCCAGACCUUCCUGCUUCUGUAGAUGGUGUAAAGAAUCCCAGUUGGAAUCUUCCUCCAACUGAAACAAGACCUUCUGAUCCGUCGUCCCUAAUUGGAUCGUCGAGUGACGUUAGAGUAUCUCUAGCAGUAGCAGAGCAAAACAGGUGGUGAGAAAAGCACAAGAAGAGUAACGCACAGGAGGAGAAGAUGGAAGAUAGCAUGCGAUUUGCAAACCAUGAAAGGUUGGAAAUAAACAUAAUACAGGGAGACAAACACAUGUGCUUGGCUCGAGGGAGUCUACUGGUAGUCGUAUCAACAUUCAUUUGUUUCCCUUGUUUACUAUCAGAAAAUGUGAGGUUUACG